rnacentral:rRNA from 1 species
AUUGAACGCUGGCUGCAGGCCUAACACAUGCAAUUCGAACGAUUGGCGGACGGGUGAGUAAUGUCUGGUAAACUGCCCGAUGGAGGGGGAUAACUACUGGAAACGGUAGCUAAUACCGCAUACCAUCGGAUGUGCCCAGAUGGGCUUAGCUAGUAGGUGGGGUAAUGGCUCACCUAGGCGACGAUCCCUAGCUGGUCUGAGAGGAUGACCAGCCACACUGGAACUGAGACACGGUCCAGACUCCUACGGGAGGCAGCAGUGGGGAAUAUUGCACAAUGGGCGCAAGCCUGAUGCAGCCAUGCCGCGUGUAUGAAGAAGGCCUUCGGGUUGUAAAGUACUUUCAGCGGGGAGGCGUUACCCGCAGAAGAAGCACCGGCUAACUCCGUGCCAGCAGCCGCGGUAAUUC